rnacentral:rRNA from 1 species
AUUGAACGCUGGCGGCAUGCCUUACACAUGCAAGUCGAACGGCAGCGGGGGAGCUUGCUCCUGCCGGCGAGUGGCGAACGGGUGAGUAAUGCAUCGGAACGUGUCCUGUCGUGGGGGAUAACUGGCCGAAAGGUCAGCUAAUACCGCAUGAGACCAGAGGGUGAAAGCGGGGGAUCGCAAGACCUCGCGCGACUGGAGCGGCCGAUGUCUGAUUAGCUGGUUGGUGGGGUAAAAGCUUACCAAGGCGACGAUCAGUAGCUGGUCUGAGAGGAUGAUCAGCCACAUUGGGACUGAGACACGGCCCAGACUCCUACGGGAGGCAGCAGUGGGGAAUUUUGGACAAUGGGGGAAACCCUGAUCCAGCCAUGCCGCGUGCGGGAUGAAGGCCUGGUGUAACGCUUGUC